rnacentral:rRNA from 1 species
GUGAGGAAUUUUGCGCAAUGGGGGCAACCCUGACGCAGCGACGCCGCGUGGAGGACGAAGUCUUUCGGGAUGUAAACUCCUGUCAGUGGGGACGAUAAUGACGGUACCCACAGAGGAAGCACCGGCUAACUCCGUGCCAGCAGCCGCGGUAAGACGGAGGGUGCAAGCGUUGUUCGGAAUUACUGGGCGUAAAGCGUAUGUAGGCGGCAAGUUAAGUUCAAUGUUAAAGCCCACGGCUCAACCGAGGAGAUGCAUUGAAUACUGGCUAGCUAGAGGGUGUUAGAGGAAGACGGAAUUCCCAGUGUAGCGGUGAAAUGCGUAGAUAUUGGGAGGAACAUCGGUAGCGAAAGCGGUCUUCUGGGACAUACCUGACGCUGAGGUACGAAAGCGUGGGGAGCAAACGGGAUUAGAUACCCCAGUAGUCC